rnacentral:rRNA from 1 species
UACGGGGGGGGCAAGCGUUGUUCGGAAUUACUAGGCGUAAAGGGCUCGUAGGCGGCCAACUAAGUCAGACGUGAAAUCCCUCGGCUUAACCGGGGAACUGCGUCUGAUACUGGAUGGCUUGAGUUCGGGAGAGGGAUGCGGAAUUCCAGGUGUAGCGGUGAAAUGCGUAGAUAUCUGGAGGAACACCGGUGGCGAAGGCGGCAUCCUGGACCGACACUGACGCUGAGGAGCGAAAGCCAGGGGAGCAAACGGG